rnacentral:rRNA from 1 species
CCAAUAGCGUAUAUUAAAGUUGUUGUGGUUAAAAAGCUCGUAGUUGAACCUUGGGCCUGGCUGGCCGGUCCGCCUCACCGCGUGUACUGGUCCGGCCGGGCCUUUCCCUCUGUGGACCCUCAUGCCCUUCACUGGGUGUGACGGGGAAGCAGGACUUUUACUGUGAAAAAAUUAGGGUGCUCCAAGCAGGCCUAUGCUCGAAUACAUUAGCAUGGAAUAAUAAAGUAGGACGUGCGGUUCUAUUUUGUUGGUUUCUAGGACCGCCGUAAUGAUUAAUAGGGACAGUCGGGGGCAUCAGUAUUCAAUUGUCAGAGGUGAAAUUCUUGGAUUUAUUGAAGACUAACUACUGCGAAAGCAUUUGCCAAGGAUGUUUUCAUUAAUCAGGAACGAAAGUUAGGGGAUCGAAGACGAUCAGAUACCGUCGUAGUCUUAACCAUAAACUAUGCCGACUAGGGAUCGGACGAUGUUAUUUUUUGACUCGUUCGGCACCUUACG